rnacentral:rRNA from 1 species
UACGGGGGGGGCAAGCGUUGUUCGGAAUUACUGGGCGUAAAGGGCUCGUAGGCGGCCAACUAAGUCGGACGUGAAAUCCCCAGGCUCAACCUGGGAACUGCAUCCGAUACUGGAUGGCUUGAAUUCGGGAGAGGGAUGCAGAAUUCCAGGUGUAGCGGUGAAAUGCGUAGAUAUCUGGAGGAAUACCGGUGGCGAAGGCGGCAUCCUGGACCGACAUUGACGCUGAGGAGCGAAAGCUAGGGGAGCAAACGGG